UACGAAGGGGGCUAGCGUUGCUCGGAAUCACUGGGCGUAAAGCGCACGUAGGCGGCUCUUUAAGUCAGGGGUGAAAUCCCAAGGCUCAACCUUGGAACUGCCUUUGAUACUGGGGAUCUCGAGUCCGGAAGAGGUUGGUGGAACUCCGAGUGUAGAGGUGAAAUUCGUAGAUAUUCGGAAGAACACCAGUGGCGAAGGCGGCCAACUGGUCCGGUACUGACGCUGAGGUGCGAAAGCGUGGGUAGCAAACAGG
rnacentral:rRNA from 1 species